UACGGAGGAUCCAAGCGUUAUCCGGAUUCAUUGGGUUUAAAGGGUGCGUAGGCGGAAUGAUAAGUCAGUGGUGAAAGCCUGUUGCUUAACAACAGAACUGCCAUUGAUACUGUCAAUCUUGAGUACAUUUGAUGUGGGCGGAAUGUGGCAUGUAGCGGUGAAAUGCUUAGAUAUGCCAUAGAACACCGAUUGCGAAGGCAGCUUGCUGGACCUGUAUUGACGCUGAGGCACGAAAGCGUGGGGAGCAAACAGG
rnacentral:rRNA from 1 species